rnacentral:sRNA from 2 species
CCCUAGCCCCGAUAGCAGUGGAAAUCCUUUUGUGCCGGGGUUCGGCACAAAAGAUUGGAACGGAUAGCGGGAAAAAGC